rnacentral:rRNA from 1 species
ACUUGUACCGACUGGAUGAGCAGCGAACGGGUGAGUAACGCGUGGGGAAUCUGCCUUUGAGCGGGGGACAACAUUUGGAAACGAAUGCUAAUACCGCAUAAAAACUUUAAACACAAGUUUUAAGUUUGAAAGAUGCAAUUGCAUCACUCAAAGAUGAUCCCGCGUUGUAUUAGCUAGUUGGUGAGGUAAAGGCUCACCAAGGCGAUGAUACAUAGCCGACCUGAGAGGGUGAUCGGCCACAUUGGGACUGAGACACGGCCCAAACUCCUACGGGAGGCAGCAGUAGGGAAUCUUCGGCAAUGGACGAAAGUCUGACCGAGCAACGCCGCGUGAGUGAAGAAGGUUUUCGGAUCGUAAAACUCUGUUGGUAGAGAAGAACGUUGGUGAGAGUGGAAAGCUCAUCAAGUGACGGUAACUACCCAGAAAGGGACGGCUAACUACGUGCCAGCAGCCGCGGUAAUACGUAGGUCCCGAGCGUUGUCCGGAUUUAUUGGGCGUAAAGCGAGCGCAGGUGGUUUAUUAAGUCUGGUGUAAAAGGCAGUGGCUCAACCAUUGUAUGCAUUGGAAACUGGUAGACUUGAGUGCAGGAGAGGAGAGUGGAAUUCCAUGGGUAAAC